AUUGAACGCUGGCGGCAUGCUUUACACAUGCAAGUCGAGCGGUAACAGGUUAAGCUGACGAGUGGCGAACGGGUGAGUAAUGCAUCGGAACGUGCCCGGUCGUGGGGGAUAACGCAGCGAAAGCUGCGCUAAUACCGCAUACGAUCUGAGGAUGAAAGCGGGGGACCGUAAGGCCUCGCGCGAUCGGAGCGGCCGAUGUCAGAUUAGGUAGUUGGUGGGGUAAAGGCUCACCAAGCCAACGAUCUGUAGCUGGUCUGAGAGGACGACCAGCCACACUGGGACUGAGACACGGCCCAGACUCCUACGGGAGGCAGCGGUGGGGAAUUUUGGACAAUGGGCGAAAGCCUGAUCCAGCAAUGCCGCGUGCAGGAAGAAGGCCUUCGGGUUGUAAACUGCUUUUGUACGGAGCGAAAAGGUCUCCUCUAAUACAGGGGGCUCAUGACGGUACCGUAAGAAUAAGCACCGGCUAACUACGUGCCAGCCGCCGCGGUAA
rnacentral:rRNA from 1 species